CGGUGUUUAACUGGCGUGUCCGCGGGACGUCCUGCCGGUGGGCUUAGCCCGCAAGGGCGGCCCAACUUCAAAUCCCAUCGCGGUGCUCUUCACUGAGUGUCGAGGUGGGCCGGCACGUUUACUUUGAACAAAUUAGAGUGCUUAAAGCAGGCUAAAACUUCGCCUGAAUACUGUGUGCAUGGAAUAAUGGAAUAGGACCUCGGUUCUAUUUUGUUGGUUUUCGGAACCCCGAGGUAAUGAUUAAUAGGAACGGAUGGGGGCAUUCGUAUUGCGACGUUAGAGGUGAAAUUCUUGGAUCGUCGCAAGACGGACAGAAGCGAAAGCAUUUGCCAAAAACGCUUUCAUUGAUCAAGAACGAAAGUUAGAGGUUCGAAGGCGAUCAGAUACCGCCCUAGUUCUAACCAUAAACGAUGCCAGCUAGCGAUCCGUCGACGUUCCUCCGAUGACUCGACGGGCAGCUUCCGGGAAACCAAAGCUUUUGGGUUCCGGGGGAAGUAUGGUUGCAAAGCUGAAACUUAAAGGAAUUGACGGAAGGGCACCACCAGGAGUGGAGCCUGCGGCUUAAUUUGACUCAACACGGGAAACCUCACCAGGCCCGGACACCGGAAGGAUUGACAGAUUGAGAGCUCUUUCUUGAUUCGGUGGGUGGUGGUGCAUGGCCGUUCUUAGUUGGUGGAGCGAUUUGUCUGGUUAAUUCCGAUAACGAACGAGACUCUAGCCUGCUAACUAGGCGUAUUUUCGACAUCUCAAAGGUCCGUCGUCCCGGCCCUCGGGUCGUGGGCGUGCGCGAUUUUUACUGUCGGCGUACUAUCAAUUCUUCUUAGAGGGACAGGUGGCUUCUAGCCGCACGAGAUUGAGCAAUAACAGGUCUGUGAUG
rnacentral:rRNA from 1 species